rnacentral:rRNA from 1 species
CUGCUGCCUCCCGUAGGAGUCUGGGCCGUGUCUCAGUCCCAAUGGUGGCCGUUCAACCUCUCAGUCCGGCUACCGAUUGUCGGUUUGGUGGGCCGUUACCCCGCCAACUGCCUAAUCGGACGCGAGCCCAUCUUUCAGCGGGAUUCGCUCCUUUGAUAUCAGUGCCAUGCGACUCCGAUAUUUUAUGCGGUAUUAGCGUUCGUUUCCAAACGUUAUCCCCCUNUGAAAGGCAGGUUGCUCACGUGUUACUCACCCGUCCG